AGUGAACGCUGGCGGUAGGCCUAACACAUGCAAGUCGAACGGCAGCACAGUAAGAGCUUGCUCUUACGGGUGGCGAGUGGCGGACGGGUGAGGAAUACAUCGGAAUCUACUUUUUCGUGGGGGAUAACGUAGGGAAACUUACGCUAAUACCGCAUACGACCUACGGGUGAAAGCAGGGGAUCUUCGGACCUUGCGCGAUUGAAUGAGCCGAUGUCGGAUUAGCUAGUUGGCGGGGUAAAGGCCCACCAAGGCAACGAUGCGUAGCUGGCCUGAGAGGAUGAUCGGCCACACUGGAAAUGAGACACGGCCCAGACCCCUACGGGAGGCAGCAGGAGGGAAUCUGGCGCAAGGGGCGAAAGCCUGACGGAGCAACGCGGCGGGAGUGAGGACGGUCUUCGGAUCGUAAACCUUUGUUAUGAGAGAAAAACAAAUGUGUAAGUAACUAUGCUCGUCUGGACGUUACCUAAGAAGAAAACCCCGGCUAACUACGG
rnacentral:rRNA from 1 species